rnacentral:rRNA from 1 species
CCUACGGGAGGCAGCAGUGGGGAAUAUUGCUCAAUGGGGGAAACCCUGAAGCAGCAACGCCGCGUGGAGGAUGACGGUCCUAGGGUUGUAAACCCUCUUUGUUCGGGAAGCUUAUGACGGUAGUUAACGAAUAAGCACCGGCUAACUACGGGCCAGCAGCCGUGGUAACACGGCGGGUGCAAGCGUUACUCGGAAUAACUGGGCGUAAAGGGUGCGUAGUCGGGAUAAUAAGUCAGAUGUGAAAUCCUGGGGCUUAACUACAGAGCUGCAUUUGAAACUGGUACUCUGGAGUGGGGGAGAGGUAUGUGGAAUGCUUGGUGUAGGGGUGAAAUCCGUAGAGAUCACGAAGAAUACUCAUUGCGAAGGCGACCUACUGGAGCCUUACUGACGCUGAGGCACGAAAGCGUGGGGAGCGAACAGGAUUAGAUACCCGUGUAGUC